rnacentral:rRNA from 1 species
AUUGAACGCUGGCGGCAUGCUUUACACAUGCAAGUCGAACGGUAACAGGCCUUCGGGUGCUGACGAGUGGCGGACGGGUGAGUAAUGCAUCGGAACGUACCCAGAGGUGGGGGAUAACGCAGCGAAAGCUGUGCUAAUACCGCAUGUGAUCUGAGGAUGAAAGCGGGGGACCGAGCAGCAAUGUUUGGCCUCGCGCCUUUGGAGCGGCCGAUGUCGGAUUAGCUAGUUGGUGGGGUAAAGGCCUACCAAGGCGACGAUCCGUAGCUGGUCUGAGAGGACGACCAGCCACACUGGAACUGAGACACGGCCCAGACUCCUACGGGAGGCAGCAGUGGGGAAUUUUGGACAAUGGGCGCAAGCCUGAUCCAGCAAUGCCGCGUGCGGGAAGAAGGCCUUCGGGUUGUAAACCGCUUUUGGCAGGAACGAAACGGUGUCCGCUAAUACCGGGCGCUAAUGACGGUACCUGCAGAAUAAGCACCGGCUAACUACGUG